GCGGGAGACGAAGAUGGAGAAACCGCGGAAGAAGAUUUUGGUGCCAUUGAUCCUGACGGUGAAGAACCCGGUGCAUACGACGGAGGAGCUGGCGGAGAAGUCACCGGAGAAGAGGACGGAGAAACAUGGGAAUAUGAUUUAGGCGACAUUGAUCCCGGCGGAGAAGCCAUCGGGGUUGAGGACGGAGAAACAGGGGAAGAUGAUUUAGGUGACAUUGAUCCCGGCGGUGAAGAUCCCGGAGCAGAAGACGGAGAAGAUGAUUUAGGUGGCGCUGGCGGAGAAGUCACCGGAGCAGAUGACGGAGAAACAGGGGAAUAUGAUUUAGGUGACAUUGAUCCCGGCGGAGAAGUCAUCGGAGCAGAGGACGGAGAACCAGGGGAAGAGGAUUUAGGUGGCAUAGGUGCGGGUGGAGAAGUCGCCGGAGACAUAUGAGAGGAAGAUUUAGGUGCCAUUGAACCAGGUGGAGAAGUUGCCGGAGAUUUAGCGGAGGAUGAUUUAGGUGGCAUUGAACCCGGCGGAGAAUUCACCGGAGCAGACGACGGUGAAACAGGGGAAGAAGAUUUAGGUGGCAUUGAUCCCGGCGGAGAAGUCACCGGAGCAGAAGACGGAGAAACAGAGGAAGAAGAUUUAGGUGGCAUAAGUGCCGGUGGAGAAGUCGCCGGAGAAACAGGGGAUGAAGAUGAUUUAGGUGCCAUUGAACCCGUUGGAGAAGUCACCGGAGAAGAAGACGGAGAAACAGGGGAAGUCGAUUUAGGUGGCAUAUGUGCCGGUGGAGAAGUCGCCGGAGAAACAUGGGAAGAAGACUUAGGUGGCAUUGAUCCCGGUGGAGAAGUCACCGGAGCAGAAGACGGAGAAACAGGGGAAGUCGAUUUAGGUGGCAUAUGUGCGGGUGGAGAAGUGGCCGGAGAAACAUGGGAAGAAGACUUAGGUGGCAUUGAUCCCGGUGGAGAAGUCACCGGAGCAGAAGACGGAGUAACAGGGGAAGAGGAUUUAGGUGGUGUGUGUGCGGGUGGAGAAGUGGCCGGAGAAACAUGGGAAGAAGACGUAGGUGGCAUUGAUCCCGGAGGAGAAUUUCCCGGAGCUGCGGCUUGAGGAGGAGAGGGAGUUCUAACAGACAAGACAACGACAGUAAGCUUUUGUCCCUUCUUACAGUUAUCUUCAUUGCCACUGAUGAAGUAAAACGGACCAGAACGUUCAAGCGAGAUCUCUGAAGCUCCGUCGUCAACUUUCUUGAUCGGAUUCUUG
rnacentral:lncRNA from 1 species